AUUGAACGCUGGCGGCAUGCCUUACACAUGCAAGUCGAACGGUAACAGGUCUUCGGAUGCUGACGAGUGGCGAACGGGUGAGUAAUACAUCGGAACGUGCCCGAGAGUGGGGGAUAACGAAGCGAAAGCUUUGCUAAUACCGCAUACGAUCUCAGGAUGAAAGCAGGGGACCGCAAGGCCUUGCGCUCACGGAGCGGCCGAUGGCAGAUUAGGUAGUUGGUGGGAUAAAAGCUUACCAAGCCGACGAUCUGUAGCUGGUCUGAGAGGACGACCAGCCACACUGGGACUGAGACACGGCCCAGACUCCUACGGGAGGCAGCAGUGGGGAAUUUUGGACAAUGGGCGCAAGCCUGAUCCAGCCAUGCCGCGUGCAUGAUGAAGGUCUUAGGAUUGUAAACUGCUUUUGUACGGAACGAAAAGGUUUGGCCUAAUACGCUGAACUCAUGACGGUACCGUAAGAAUAAGCACCGGCUAACUACGUGCCAGCCGCCGCCGUAACAC
rnacentral:rRNA from 1 species